GGAACAGUAGUUCAGCGGGGAGAAUAUGGGGCUCUCACCCCCAAGGUCGGUGGUUCAACUCCAUCUUGUUUCU
rfam:Naegleria gruberi genomic scaffold NAEGRscaffold_642, whole genome shotgun sequence.